CUGAACCGACAACAUAUCCGAGCUUUGGCGAUGGGUUCUUCUUCUCUCUUCCUCCUCGGGGUUCAACUGUUUACAUAUGAGGACGACAUGCAUGUACAGAGCCCAUCAGUACUAGAGGACUCAGACAGAUCUCAAUGAUGUUAACGAAGCUUGCUUGCGAGGUUGGUGGAGAGAGGCAUGCUUCAGAGAUAGCUAGGAAGUGAUCGUUAGGUGGAGUCCAGCCAGAUUUGCAUCAUAGCUGAUGAGAGCCUCGGGCUAGUUUCUCUGAAACUUUGGAUCUAUGUUCCUGAGUUGGCGCUGAAGAGUAGAGAAGAGAAGAGAGAGUCGAGAGUUCCUUUCGUUCAAGGGUUGGAUGUCAUGCCACAGUACAUUGCACUCAGAGACCAUAAAUCAAAGCUGUACGUGCAUUCUUGGAAGAGAUGAUCAUGAGUUUCAGCGAAGAAGUUACAUAGGAGAUAUAGUGGUGGAGCCUGUAAACCCCAACUGCUGAGCCUGUCUCUAGUAGGACAUCUGUUUUUUAUCACCAACAAAGCUAAGGAGUGUCUCGGGAUCCCAUAAGAAGACCAGAUUGUCUUGGCUCAGUUUACAUCAGGUGCGGUUGUACAGAGUUAAAUAGGUGUGCAGCUGAAGUUGUUGGCGCCACAAUUCAUUUCUGCAUUGAGAGGGAUCCCAAGCCUUGACGAUGAGCCUUGGAGAAAGGUUGAUAAACUGCCAAAGGGUGUCCAUUUGUCAAACCAGAACCUAGCCGAUGGUCCAUCCUGCAGCUUAAGUUUAAUCAGUGGGAAAACUAAGUCUUUAAGCUUCAGGAGUUUGUUUCUAGCCAAGAGUAGAAGCUACUUGGUUUGGUAGUCCAGUACCAGUAGUUGUGUAUUGAUCCUUAAAAGUAUUUUUUUCCUUCCUUGAACCCAUAUUGAUCAUGCUCUGAAGAAUAGCAUCCAAACUAGCUUUAGAUAGCAAGCUUUGUUCCAAGUGUUAAGAUCCUUAAUUUUUGCCCAAA